rnacentral:rRNA from 1 species
CCAAUAGCGUAUAUUAAAGUUGUUGCAGUUAAAAAGCUCGUAGUUGAACUUCGGGGUUUACCCAUUGGUCAGGCUUAAUUGUCUGUACUGGUGAGAUAAAUCUCUACCUUCUGAGGAACUUUCAUGUCAUUAAUUUGGUGUGAUUGGAAAUCAGGACUGUUACUUUGAAAAAAUUAGAGUGUUUAAAGCAGGCUAACGUC